UUUCCAACAACCAUCACUUCAAACAAUUACUUGCAUCAGUUAAGUAACCAACCAAUUCAAAAUGAUGAAAUUCUUGAUCUUCGCUUUCCUCGUUGCCUUCGCUGUUUCUGCCGUCGUGGCUGAACCUAACCCAGGUUACCCAGGUUAUGGAUAUGGCUACCCCUAUGGAGGCUACCCCUAUGGAGGCUACCCAUAUGGAGGAUAUCCUUAUGGAGGUGGUUAUGGAGGCUACCCAGGAGGAUAUGGACCUUAUUAGUCUUCUUGACAGAGUAUUCCUAAAUCACCUUUAUUGAGUGUAUUUAGAGAAGAAUUUCAAUAAAAAUUUGAGAAGUCAAA